GAUCAAGUGUCUUAAGGGCAAUUGGUGGAUGCCUUGGCAUGCACAGGCGAUGAAGGACGUGAUACGCUGCGAUAAGCUACGGGGAGGUGCGAAUACCCUUUGAUCCGUAGAUCUCCGAAUGGGGAAACCCACCUAAGGUACUUGGAAAAUCAGAGCAGCAGGGCAACUGACGCGGCAAUCCCAAAAGGAUUGAGCGUGGGGCGACGAUCUCUUUGGGAUCGCGCUGUUUUUGCUGCUGUGGUUUCCAAGUAUCGAUAAUAGGUAACUUAUCCUGAAUACAUAGGGAUAAAGUGGCGAACGCGGGGAACUGAAACAUCUAAGUACCCGUAGGAAAGGACAUCAACCGAGACUCCGGAAGUAGUGGCGAGCGAACCCGGACCAGGCCAGCGGCGAUUGAGAGACAAGCGGAACCUUCUGGAAAGUUGGGCCAUAGCGGGUGACAGCCCCGUACGCGUAAUGCGAUCAAUCGUCCUUGAGUAAGGCGGGACACGUGAAAUCCUGUCUGAAAUUGGGAGGACCACCUUCCAAGCCUAAGUACUCGUGCAUGACCGAUAGCGAACUAGUACCGUGAGGGAAAGGUGAAAAGCACCCCGACAAGGGGAGUGAAAGAGUACCUGAAACCGAUUGCCUACAAACAGUGGGAGCCCGUCCUUCAAAUCGCUUGACGAUUUGAAGAACUUUUGAUUUUGCCAUCAAGAGCGCAAGCGCUUUGAUGGGCGGGUGACCACGUACCUUUUGUAUAAUGGGUCAGCGACUUAGUGUGACGAGCAAGCUUAAACCGAUAGGUGUAGGCGCAGCGAAAGCGAGUCUGAACAGGGCGUUCAGUUCGUCGCAUUAGACCCGAAACCGAGUGAUCUAGCCAUGAGCAGGCUGAAGGUAAGGUAACACUUACUGGAGGGCCGAACCCAUAACUGUUGCAAUAGUUCGGGAUGACUUGUGGCUAGGGGUGAAAGGCCAAUCAAACUCGGAAAUAGCUGGUUCUCCGCGAAAUCUAUUUAGGUAGAGCGUCGACCGAAUACCCCAGGGGGUAGAGCACUGGAUGGGCUAGGGGUCCUCACCGGAUUACCAAACCUAACCAAACUCCGAAUACCUGGGAGUACUAGUCGGCAGACACACGGCGGGUGCUAACGUCCGUCGUGAAAAGGGAAACAACCCUGACCUACAGCUAAGGUCCCCAAGUUAUGGCUAAGUGGGAAAGGAUGUGAGGAUCCCAAAACAACCAGGAUGUUGGCUUAGAAGCAGCCAUCAUUUAAAGAAAGCGUAACAGCUCACUGGUCUAAAUAAGGGUCUUUGCGCCGAAAAUGUAACGGGGCUAAAGCCAUACACCGAAGCUUAGGGUUCGUGAGCAAUCACGAGCGGUAGCGGAGCGUUCUGUAAGCCAGUGAAGCCGUACCCGUGAGGGGCGGUGGAGGUAUCAGAAGUGCGAAUGCUGACAUGAGUAACGUAAGGGGAGUGAGAGACUCCCCCGCCGAAAGACCAAGGGUUCCUGCUUAAAGUUAAUCUGAGCAGGGUUAGCCGGCCCCUAAGACGAGGCGGAAACGCGUAGUCGAUGGGAAUCACGUUAAUAUUCGUGAGCCUGGAGGUAGUGACGGAUCACACAAGUUGUCCAAUCUUAUCGGAUUGAAAGGGCAGCGGAGUGGUUCCAGGAAAUAGCUCCUCCUUAUAGACCGUACCCGAAACCGACACUGGUGGUCUGGUAGAGUAUACCAAGGCGCUUGAGAGAACUAUGCUGAAGGAACUCGGCAAAUUGCACGCGUAACUUCGGAAGAAGCGUGACCCUUUUUUGCGCAAGCAGAGGAGGGUGGCACAGACCAGGGGGUAGCGACUGUUUAUCAAAAACACAGGGCUCUGCGAAGUCGCAAGACGACGUAUAGGGUCUGACGCCUGCCCGGUGCUGGAAGGUUAAGAGGAGGGGUGCAAGCUCUGAAUCGAAGCCCCAGUAAACGGCGGCCGUAACUAUAACGGUCCUAAGGUAGCGAAAUUCCUUGUCGGGU
rnacentral:rRNA from 1 species